CUUAUCAGCCGUUGCAGUGAUGGAAAUUUGUUGCUGCUGCUGCUGGGAAUGCAAUCGAGGCGGCAAGAAGGAAGGCGAUGCCAGAACCGCAUGCCAGAUACUCAUUCGAUACACUCGAAAUGUGCCAAAUUAUUCUCACGUUUCGCUGAUGAUUCAAUGACCGCUUGAUGGCUGUUGUCUAGCCUUAGCAGGCUGUCCAAAAUUAUUAGCUUUGGGGCUUGAUCACGAGUCCCUUAAUCGCUAUAAUCGGCAUCGACUGGCGGCGCUUAUCAGGUGAACCCGCUGAAUCGGCACAUGCAAUUCAAGAUCAAAGUUGAAGUUCCCCCCCCCUGGAGACAGAGCGUUUCGUCUGGAUCUACACUCUGUUAUCUGCCGCCGCUUGUUUGGAAUUCACACAUCCGCAGCAGCGUUUAGAUGGCAGGCAGGCAGUCACUCCGCCCCGCCCGCCAUGAGCCACCUGAUCCAGCAGGCGAUGUGCCAAAAAAUCCCAACCACUUGAACCUGAGGCUAUACCCUGACGCACACUCCCCGCUACCGUGCAAAAACAAUUGCUCGAGAGUAGAAAAAAUAAAGCGAAAAUGUUUUAACGCUUCGACGCAUAACGACAACAAACAAAUCGCUUCAUUUAACAAUAAAUAGCUGCCAGCUACGACGGACGACGCUUC